AAGUCUAAUGGAGAUUUCCUUCACAUAUGGUAAGUUGAUUCUUCUCUCUAGUAACAAUAAUACUUAAACUACUUUUCUUAGUUAAAGGAUCUUUUGUUCUUUGGGGGAGAAGGAGAUAAGGGUGGGAUUAAGAAUGAGCAAAAAGGAUGUCCCUAAAUCAGAAUUGUAACACUGAUUGAAGGCUUUGAAAAAUAAGUCUCUUCAAAAGGAAUAAAUAAAAUAUUUUCUCAGAGAAAAGAUGGCAAUAACUCUGCUAGGGUCUCUUUUGGGCAAGACUGAAUAUUCCUUCAGUUUACAGUGGAAAUAGUAAGGUAAUGGCCAGAGAGGAGAAGAGAGGAUCUGUCCUCAACCACCUUCAGGCAGAAGAAGAAUGAACUUCAGGCAGCUGGGGUCCAACUGUCCCUCUUUAUCAAACUUCCAUGGAACUCUCUCCCCUCCUCCAAUGAUUUGUAUGUUCCAAAGGUUCUGACCUCUCCUUGCUUUGCAGAUCCAAUUUUUCUUUGCCCAUAUUUCUUCAAUCACAAUAGGGACAUUGGAAUAGGAUGAAAACAAUCACCUUUUUCACAUUUUCCUAUAAGCUCUGAUUCAUAGACCUACUGAAUGAAUUUAGGAAUCAGUGGUCUGGGAAUCAAGUGACCUUUGAUCUUGCUCUGGUUCUGCUGUUAACUACCUGAAUGAACUUGGAGUCACCUAAUUUCUUUAGUCAUCAUGUAUACAAAUAAAAGGAACUUGUUGGACUGCAUUACCUAAAAAUAUUUUACAGGUACAGUAUAUUCAAUUUUAAAUCAUUUAAUCUAUUCUUAUCCUUUUUUUUUCUUUCCUUUGUUCUAUCCAAGCUUUCCUUCUGCCUAGAAAAUUAUAAGAAAUAAUCGUUCAUAUAUUUAUGAAAUUCUUUACUCUCAGGGAAAGGUUGUUCCUCUACUUUUGAAAACAGAAAGCCAAGCUGAGAGAUGGGAAAUUCCUGGGUUCAUAUCUGGUCUAAUACAUUUCAUAGCUGGGUGAACCUGGGCAACACACAAUAUUAAUUCUAAGAUAGAAGGCAAGGGUUAAAAAAUAGUUGUCUGAACUGGAAAUAACUUUCAGAGACCACAAUGCUCUCUGUCUCUCUCAGUCUCUGUCUCUGUCUCUGUCUCUGUCUCUGUGUCUCUGUCUCUGUCUCUGUCUCUCUCUCUCUCUUUCUCUCUCUCUUUCUUUUGAAGAUGUUGGAGAUUUUUAAAAAGAAUCUUGGGUAACAUGAAUUCACACAAAGUCACAUGAUAAGAACCAGGAGAACAAUUUAUACAAGGAUAGAAAUGUUGUAAGGAAAAACAAUCCAAAACUUUAAGAAUUCUGAUGAAUUCAGUAACCAACCUUGUUUCAAGAGAAUCUUCAAUGAACAUGUUACCCACUUUCUAACAACAAGGACAUAGACUCAAGGUCAAUAAAGAGACAUACAUUUUUGGACAUGGUCAUUGUGCAUAUUUCAUUUUGAUUGAUUAUUUGUUGUAAGAUAUGUUUUUCCUUUUUUUCUCUGUUGAAGGAUAAGGUAGAAGGAAAGGGAGUUAGCAAUUGGGAAGCCAAGAAAAAGGGCACUAUGAUUAUAUUAACAUGCCCAGAGGAAAACUGAAGGAAAUUCAGAAAGAAUUAUAAUAAGAUAAUUCUAAAAGCAAGUGUAUAAAUAUAUUAUAUAUUUUUGCUUCCAAAAGCAGUUCUAAAAUGAAGAUUAAUGGUUUCAUAAAAAUUUUUCUUUUUAUGUUCUGUGUAUGAAAAUAUAAUUUUUUUGGUAUUUAAGAUGAGAAUUGUUUUUAACAAUGAGGUUUUUACAUAUCCAAUAUGAAGAAAUAGUUGAUGGUUAGACUUGGAAGUUCUUUAAAUGAUCUCCUAAUCCAGUCUCUUGAUUUCAGAGUUGAAAUGGAAGAUCAGAGAAGGAAAAUGAGUUGUCUAAGGUAAUGUAACUAAUCAGUGACAGAAUCAUGACUCAAAACCAAAUUGAGAUGAGUCCAAAGCAGAGUGAUUUUCCAUUGGAUGCAUCAAGACCUUGUAAUGAAGACCCCCCCCCAAGAAAGAGAGCAGCCAUAAGAAUCAAAAUAGAAAUGUCCACCCAAACAUAAUCUACUAGAUUUUUUGGAUGAGUCAUGGACACAAACAGAUUCCUAAGCAUUGAGCAGCCUGAUGACACUCACUGCCCAGUGAUUUAUGGUUUAAUUUGCAAGAAGGAAUAUAGAUAUAAUUAUCAGAAGAUAUGGGUGCAAAUAUUCACUCUAGACAAUAAAAUGGAUAAAACCUACAGAAGCUAUCAAUAGUUUUUGUUAUAAUCUUGAUCACUCAGAAGAUACAAGAAGAUCUGAAAAAUCAUUAACUCAAUAAUAUAAUCAUGAACUAAACUUCUAUCAUCUGUGAAUUUCGUCCUGUUAGAAGCAUUUGGACCAUUGAAAGGAUUUGGGACAGACAGGAUAGUAAGGCAACUUGCCUACUGAAUGGUGUAUCUGCCAGUAGAGACAGUGUGAGCCAGAGACAGCCAUGCCAAAAGAGAGGACUACCAUUAGCUGACUGAAAACAAAUGGGGCAAAGAAAAGUACCGGAGAGCUGAGCCAAUGUUGACAGAGGAGGCAAACAGCACUCCAUUAGUGUUAAAAAUUAAAGGGCAGAAAAUGAAAAUUCAUCUCAUGUUCAACCUCUUACUCAUAGCACAAGCCUUAUCCUGAUGAAACUGUCCAGUAGAAAGAACAAAGACAAUGUGAGACUAUUGUAAUAGGUUAUUUGGAAAAAAGAAAAAAACAAACCAAAUAAAAUAAUUACUUGUUACUGAUCUCAAUAGAGAUCUGAGUCUCUGAGCAUUUAAUGCUUGUACAACUUCCAACCACAUCAACAGAAAGGUCAACAAAUAAAUGGAGCUAAACAGAAAAAACAGACAAGAGGGACAUCACAAUUUAAUACCUAUCAGUGUCAGAUAACCUCAGUCUAGAAUCAUAGACUUUAAUAAUUAAUUUGAUUAAAUUUAAUAAACAAGUUAAAAGUAAGAAGUGGAGACAGGACAAAAAUAGCUUUUCCUUCUACUGAGCUUCCACUCUACUAGUGCUAUUUCUUUUUUUUUUCACUUUAGACAAAAUUACUAAUUAUAUUUUAAGAUAUUUAAUUAUUUAUUUUUAACAUUUUUUUCUUUUUAAAUUUUGAGUUCCAAAUCCUUCCUCCCUUCUCUACCCAUGAGAAGACCAGAAAUAUGAUAUAAAAACAUGUCAAAUAAGGCAAAACACAUUUCCAUAUUAGCCAUAUUUUUAAAUCCUUAUCUUCAAUAUUAGAAUCAAUGCUAUGUAUGGGGUCUGAGGCAGAAGAACAGUAAGGGCUAGGCAAUGGGGGUUAAGUGACUUGCCCAGGUCACGUCACUAGAAAGUGUCUAUGGUCAAAUUUGAACCCAAUACCUCCCACUCCAGGUCUGGCUUUCAAUCCACUGAGCUGCCUAGCUAAACUAUAUCUGAAGAAAAAAAGUAAAGUGAGAAAAUUAUACUUCAGAGUUCAUCAGAUCUCUCUGAAAGUGGAUAGCAUUUUUUUUUCAUCACAAGUCCUCUGGAAUUGAUCAUUGUUAUGAUCAAAGUAGCAAAGUCUUUCACUAUUGAUCAUCAUGACAACAUUGCUAUUCCAAUGAUGUUCUGGUUCUUCUCACUUCACUUUGCAUCAGUUCAUAUAGGUCUUUCUGAGUUUUUUUUUUCUUCCUGAAAUCACUCCUCUCAAUUAUUUCUUAUAACACUAUAGCACUCCAUCAAAAUCAUAUGCCACAAUUCUUUUCUGUCAUUCCCUAAAUGAUAAGCAUCCUCAUGAUUUCCAUUUCCUUUCCACUACAACAGGAGCUACUCUAAGUGUUUUUAUACCCAUUGGUCCUUUUUCUUUUUUCUGUGAUCUUUUAAAAAAUACAGAACAGUGGUGAUAUUACUGGCUCAAAGUUUAUAAGUAGGUUUAUAGCCCUUUGGACAUGUUUUCAAAUUGUUCUUCAGAGUUAUUAUUAUACCUACUUUUCACUCAUCCUCUCUAGCAUUUUUCAUUUCUGAUAGGUACAAGGAAGCACCUCAUAGCAUUCAUUCAAAUUUCACUAAUCAAUUGAAAUUUAGAAUAUUUUUUCAUAUGACUAUAGAAAACUUUGCUUUUUUCUGAAUAUUGACUGCUUAUAUCUUCUGACUAUUAAUUAAUUGAGGAAUGGCUCUUAGUUUUAUAAAUUUGACUCAGUUACAUACUCAGUAUUUAUUUAAGAAAUGAGCCCUUUAUCAGAUAAAACUUCCUAUAGAAGUUUUUUAUAUUACUUUAUUGUCUAUGAGGUUUUUUUUUUAGUAUAAUGUAGUGUUCCUGAUUAUCACUUUUAAUUAAGUCUAAUUUUGCUUUUGCUUUGGAUGAGAUCAUGAUUUCUACCCCUGACUUUUUUAUUUCAGCUGAAACAUACUAAAUUCUCCAAUCUUUUAUUUUAAUUCUGUGUGUCAUUCUGUCUCAAGCAUGUCUCUUGUAAACAAUAUAUUGUUGGAAUCUGGUUUCUAAUGAAUCCAUUCUGCUAGCUGCUUGUUUUAGGGGUGAGUUCAUCCCAUUCUCAUUUAUAGUUAUCAUUAGCAUGCAUUUCCUUCUAUUCCAUUCUCUCUCUCUGUCUCUGUCUCAGAUCCUCUUUUCUGUCCUUCAUCAAAAAUCUAUUUUGCUUCUAAUCACUUCCUCCCUUAAUUCACUUUCCCUUUUAAUAUCAAGCCCCCCCCCCUUUAUUACUCCCUUCUUUUAUUUCCCUAUUGGGUAAGUAACAUUUCUAUGCACACUGAGGGUAGAUAGAUGGGUACAUAGAUCAAUAAAAACUCUUUCCACUUUGAAUCAAUUUUGAUGCAAGUGAGGCUCAAUCACUGCCCUCUGCCCUUCCUGCAUUUCCUCCUCCAUUGUAAAAGCUCUUCUCAGAGGACCUCUUUUUACACAGGAAACAUUUCCCCAUUCUCCAUCUCCCUUCUCCUAGGGCAUCUCUUUUUCUUAGCCCUUCAUUUUUUUAGAUCAUUCAUGCUCUCUGUCUAUAUAGACUCCUUUUAAUUAAAUAAAUACAGUUCUUCAGAGUUACAUGGAUUUUGCAACUGUGGCCAGGUCUCCUGCUCCCCCUUGUGACUUGCCACCAGUGUUCCUCUUGGAACUGCAACUCAGAACUGUGUGUGGGCAAUAGAGUUGUAUCGUGGGCUAGCAAAGGGUCCCUGUAAUCCCUUUCUGACCAGCUGUUUGAUUACAGCCUCUGGAGUGAGAGCUCCCAAAGCUGCUACUGCUACUGCUGCACCCACAGUUGUCAUCACAGGCUGCAUGGGCUAUGAAUGACUUUCCACUCUCGUGCCACACACUUCUCUUGCUGAUACCUAAGUUUUCUUAGGCUGGGAAAAUGCCUCACCUCCACCUUUUGUGGGCUCUGUCACUCCAAAAUUUGAUUUGAAGUAUUACUUUAAAGUUGUUUUGAAGGGGAAUGUUGGAAUUGUUCAACUAGGUGGCUACCCUUAAUCCAUCAUCUUGGCUGCUAGUGGUGCUCUUUUUAAACUUAUUCUGUAAUAUUUUUUGCUUUACUCUGAAAACUAUUGCAGAAUCAUUCUAAUUACUCAACUUGAAUCUCUAAGGUGGCUACCCAGGAUGUCUGUUGCUUUAUAAUAUCUUAGAAGCACUGCACCCUGGAUUUCAGAGGCAGAAUUCCCCCAGUAUCAUCACUGCACUUGGUCCAUUCCCCGAACAAGACCUCCUUUGUUUUUCUUCAAUAUUAUGGGGCAAAUAAGUGAGCCAAAAAACAUAGAUUGACACCUAAGGAGGAAAGAGUAGUUAAGCACUAGAAAGGAAGCAAAGCAUGAACUUUUGCUCCAUCAUUUCUUUAGUAUUUCUACCUAAGGGGUUAUUACUUUGCCACCCUCCCUUAUCACCCUUCUCUCUUCCUUCCAAGGAGUCUGAGUUUAAUUCUAAGAAGGGGUCACUUUCUUUGUUCAAGUCCCUAACUGAAAAACUCUAAACCUAAUGUGGAACUUGUGUCUAAGCUCACUUCCUUCUAAAGGAAAUAACAGGUUCCUCAAGUUCUGCCUAAACGAGUAAUUUACAAUAUGAAUAUCAGUUUAUACCCAUCUAUUUCAUCCACUACAGAAAACACAUAUUACAGAAGUGAGUGGAUUGAAGGAGAGUAUUUCAAACUGAGAAAAAAUAAAAUUGAAGAAGUAGUGUUUAAAAUAUUUUAAAGAAUAUGGGUAUCAUAGGAGUUCAUGAAAAAUAUGUAAUUAUAAAGCACUUAAUCUACCAGACUUUUCAUACAUGAAAGAAAAAUAAACAUAUGCAUAUCUAUUUGUCAGUCUAUCUAUCUGUCUGUUUGUCUGUCUGUCUAUCUAUCUACCUGUCUGCCUAUAUAUCAUCUAUCUAUCCAUCUGUCUGUCUGUCUGUCUAUCGAAGAGCCUGAGUAUCCUUAUCUCACCUGGGCUGUAAUUGCAGUGAGCCCUCACUACACCACCCUACCUCUGGUCAGGGUGGAAGCUUUGGUCCACUCAGCCUCUGACCUGAGUACAUUCACAAAUCACAAAGUAAGUGAGAUGUUUCCAACCUACCUCCCAUGUCCAGAGGCUCACUUGGUUGGUGUCAGACUUAAUGAGUUCACCCGAUCAGCUCUGCCCUGCUGUUGCUUUGAACUAAUGUGCUCUAGCAAUCCUAGCUUGAUCUAGCUUGAACAGUAACCUCAGAUUCCCCAAUUAUGAGGGAUUAGACGUGGACACCAACCUAGAAGAAAAUACAUUUAUUAAUCACUUACUCUAUGCAAAGAAUGAUAUUAAACUCUGAGGACACAAAAAGAAAAGGAAAGUAGUCGGUUCAUAAGGAGCUCACAUUUUAAUGGAGCAGGCAAUCUAUAUAGGAGGUUUCAGCUUCAUGUACGAUGGAAAGGUCGAAUUGUUUUUAUGGUACAGUACAAAAGCAAAUAGUAAGGAAUUUUCUUUAAUUUUAUUUCCCUUAGGGAGCAGCUAAGUGCCUCAGUGUAUUGAGAGCCAGGCUCAAAUACGGAAGGUCCUGGGCUUAAAUUUUACUUCAGAUACUUCUUAAAUAUGUGACCCCGGACAAGUCAUUCAACCCUCAUUCCCCUUACCAUUAUUCUGCCUUGGAAUCAGUAUACAGUAUUGAUUUUAAGAUAGAAGGUAAGAAUUUAAAUUUCUUUAUUUCCAUUAAUAAAAUCAUACUAGUUUCUACUUUUGAUCUGAUUUUGACAUUGCCAGGGACCUUACUGAUGAUUUCUUUCUUUUCUGGGUAUCUAUUUUUUCAUAGCUUUGUAUAAGUCAGAACAGAAGGCAUCAAAGUUGUUUAUUUGGACUAUGGAUUUAGGAUCUAGACUGAAAGCAGGACCAGCAGUCUGAGAGGGAGCUCCUAUUCUCAGGGCUCUUGAAGUUACUUGACCUAUUGGUGGCAGUUAUCAUUGAGAGCAGAUUCAGCCAUUGCUCAAUGUUUUUGACAGUCUGUAGAGAACAGGAGAGAUGCUAUGUGGCAGGAAAGGCAAAUGUUGCCUUGCUUUUCAAAAAAAAGGGGAAAGAGGAAAGUCAGGAAGGCAUAGGCUAGUGAACUUAAUUAAUUUCUCUCUCAAAGUAAAGACACUUCAGGUCUUCUUACCUAAUGCAUCUCAUUCAUUUUAGUCCUUAACCAUCUCAGUAACACUCAUAAAUAUCAUAGAGGGUUGUCAAGAUAUAGAAAUCCUAAUACCACAUAACAAAAACAUCAGUUCUUCAGUUUCAGCCCAAUUGAAUAGAGGAACGUCUUCUUUCCAGGGAAUCAUGCCCUUAUUCUCUUCUCAUUAAGUAGUCACUAUUCGGCUCUCAAAAUCAGGAAUUAUGCUGCUAAUUAUAAAUCAUAAAAAAAUUUCCAUCGAUAAAAACAUCAAUUUUCCUCUAUUUUCUAUAUCUGACAUAUGCUCAGAAAAGGAAAUAGAAUAGAAGGAAGUAGUCAUCAACUGUAGGUGCAGGAAUACUUUUCUCCUACAAGUCACCCACCAUUUUCUUCUCCUUGUUAGGAGGCAAAGCCAAAGGAAAAAUACUUUUCCUGCAAUUCUAUUCCUUUGGUUGCUCUCAAGUCUGGAAGUCCAAGAAAAAUAGAGGUCUUGAAAGAAAGAAAGUUGGAAAAGAGUGAGUUGUGUCUCAGUUCAAUCUCAGACAAAAUAGAUGGAUCAAUUAAAAUCAGAGUCCAUCUCUACUGACUCUCAGUGGCAAAUUAUCUUGGAGGCUGCAUCAGUCAAUGAGGAGUAAAAUUUCUUUGUGUUUUUUCAUGAAGGAACUAGAGAUUAAGUCCAUAUCCAUGGAAAAUGUCCCUUCUGUAAGAGGUCCAUUUCUGAUUACCGUCAAAUUUAUUGAGCAGACUAAUCCAAAGAGAUUAGAGGUUCUCCAGAUGAUCUCUCAUACAACACAACAUUACAAUCACUCUUUCCGAAGCAACUCUAUCCAUUUGAGCCCUUGUCCAAUGGGUGAUGACAGAAAAUAUUAGAGAUGAAAGGAACUUUAGAGACCAUAGUUUAAGGCUCUCAUUUUACACCUGUGAAAACAAAAACCUAGUGAGCUUACAUGACCAGUCAAUGGUCUACCAGCUAGUUCAUUGAAGAUCCAAGUCCAGAACCCAGGUUCCCUGAUUCCCAGGUAUGUCCCUGAUUCAUAUAAGAAGAAAGCAAUUCAACAAUAAAAAUGUAUGAUAUUACAUGUAUGCCUAUUAUACACUGCUAAGCAAAAUCCUUUUGCAAAGGUCCUUUGUCUACUAAUAUACUACCUUUGAAAAUGAAAAGUAAUCAUCUUUUUCCUUUGUCUCUUCAUAUUCACUUGUUAAUUAGAAACAUACAUUCAAAACCAAGGUUAGUUCACUUUUGAAGCAUUUUUGCUAAAACUUUUGAUUUGUCAUAGGAAAACAGAAAAUUUUUACCUGUGCUGUAUCAGUUAAGUGUUCAAUUGUUCCAUAAAUAUUUUUUUAUUAUAUUGUCAUUUAAAUCAUAGUUUGGGUUCAUUGUUCAUCUUAGAAUCUUAGUGUUGGAAGGGAUCUUAGAAGACAGUUAAACAAUUAUUCUAAUCAGUACAAUCAUCUUAUAAAAUUUUUGACAGUGCUAGCUUGGGUUUACAUUUUUUAUGGCAGGCUGACUGUCUUUAUUUGAUGUCAGACAGAGAACUAGGAUGUAGCAGCUAAGGUAAACGGAUCUCAAAAGCUGGAAGUUCAUUUGUUUGUACUGGACCAUACUGGGAUACAGACUGAUAGCUGAAUAAGCCACCUUAACCAAAAAAUAACCUAGAGAUUUGUACAUUUGCAUGCACUACGCUACAUCCUUGUUGUGAAACUUAAAAAAAAAUAAAGUAACAAAUUAAAAAACAAUCCCUGCAUCUGGAGUCCCAGCGCCUGGUUUCAAAACAUGGCUCUGCUACCUUAUCACUCAUGUGACCUUGGAGCAAUCACUGAACCUCUAUGAUCUUUAGUUUUCACAAUUGUAAAACUGGUUGAAUGUGAUGAUUUCUAAGCUUGAUCCUUCUAGUGCUAUGUCCUAUAAAUCCAAUGUAAAUAUAUGGAUGAAAAUAAUUUUUAAAAUAAGAAUUGAUAUAGGGUUUUUCAGGUUUACAAAAUGCUUUCCAUAUCUUCUAUGAUCUUUGACAUCCCUGAGGACUAGGAACUUUUCUUUUUUCUUUUCCUUUUGCAUAUGUAUAUAUAUACAUAUAUAUAUAUAUAUAUGUAUAUAUAUACACAUAUAUAAACAUGAGACUAUAUGUGGUCAAAUCUAACCAUGAUUUCUUUACUCUAAACUUCUAUGUAGUUUGUGGUCCAUGAGAAAUUAAUUAAUCUGUAUUUAUGGAACAUUUCUUUGUUUAUUCACUUUUUCUUAGAGUUUAUAAUUUAAGAAAGCACUUUUCUUUUGAUGCUCCUAUGACAUAGGUACUAUUCAUAUUUGUUAUACGUCUUUUAACAGUGAUAAAACUAAUAAGAAGGGAUUUUAUGACCUAUCUAGAGUAACCAUCUGUUGGAGCUAGGAUUUCAAAACCAUAACUUCUAGCUGCAAGUUCAAAACUGUUUCUACAACUCCAUGCUGUCUCUUAACUAAAUGCUUAGCAUUUUGUCAUGUGCUUUAGAGGUUCCAGUAGAAGUAGAAGACUUAAUCCCUGCCCUCAAAUAGAUUUUAAUCCAGUUGGAGAGACAAGACUAAUACACACAAUAUAAUAGCUAAGUAUAAAAGUAUGAAUGAGGUAGGUGUGAUUCUAAAACCAUGUGAUUGAUGUUUAAAAAAAACAUAACAAAGUUUAUACUUCUAAAUAAGUACUGACUGUCCCCUUCCAGGAAGUCCCCUUGGGAGGCCACACAUGUUUUCUAUUGCUUAAAACAUGUUUUGGAACACAUCUCUUAGAGCUGCCUCAGAGAUUGGCACGUUCUUUUGAAUACCCUCAUUGGUGGCAAAUGUUGGUCCUUUGAGGAUGGAUUUGACUUUUGGAAUAAUCCAAAACUCAUUCAGAAUCCAAUCUGGUUAACAUUUUUUUCUCUAGUGGUUCACUAAAGAUUUGGAAUUGUGACCAUAUGGAAUUCUUUGUUUUAAGAGGGUCAUAGUAGAUACCAUGAUAGCAGGAAACUAGUUUAGAUGGAAGAGAACAAUUAAGGUUUCACUUGAAAUGUUAUAGUCAGAGAUGACUCAAGAAUUUAUACAAAUAAACUAAUUUUGUUAUUUGGUAGAGAACACACAAUGAAUAUUUAAUGCUUUAUCAAGUCACCACUAGAAGAGGCAGUCUAAUUUUUGUGGAUAGAGAGAACAGAGACCUGGAAGUCAGGAAACUUGGAUUCUAGUAUCAGCAGCAACUCAUUCUAUGAUUUAGCAAAUUGCUUUCCCCUUUCUUCAUCUGUAAAAUGGCAAUAUUGAGCUAGAUAAUCUUUUACUUCUCCACUUCUGACUUUCUGUGAUUUAGUUUCUAAGAUCUUUUAUCAUUUUUAGGAUAGUAGAGUUGGCAGUCAAAAGAGGAUUCCUGUUUAUUUAAGAUUGGAUUGAAUGUGUUUUCAUAUACCAUUCAACCAUGAGUUUUUGGGAUUCCAUGGACAUUAAGUUUAAUAAUAUUGUUCUUCAUGGAGAAGAAUGUGUGCCUGCCAAGUGAUGGCUCUGAUAAGCUUACAAUGGGAUCUUGGGCAAAUCACUAAACUGAAUCCUGUAGAGAUAAUAUCAAUUUUUUAUUUAUAGAUAGAAACCAGAGAAUUUGAUUAGAUGAUCCUAAAGAUCCUUCCUAAAUCUCACGUUUUAUAUACAAUUCUAUGAUUUUUCUUUUGCAAUGAAAAAACUGACUGAAAGCAGUUUCAAAAGAUUUUCACAUGUACUUUGAGCAAGGCAAGAUCAUUGGAAUAAUUAUACUUUCUCCUGAGGUGACUUUUUUUUUUAACCCUUACCUUCUGUCUUAGAAUCAAUACUGUGUAUUGUUUGCAGGGCAGAAGAACAGUUAGCCAGGCAAUGAGGUUAAGUGAUAUGCCUAAAAUAGCACAGUUAAGAAGUAUCAAUCCAGAAGGUCAUCCAGGGGGGUGGAGUCAAGAUGGCCACUUAGAAGCUGCGAAGGGCUGAACCUCUAUGAAAACCCUUCCACACCAAUUAAAACCAAAGUGCUUAGAGGGGACAGAAAGCCAAAUCUAAUAACAGAACAGAGCCAGGGGGACCCUCCAGCUCGAUUUAACUUAAAAAGUACACAGAGAAGGCUGAGUUCUCUGUUUUAAGUAAAAGGAAGAAGGAAGGUCUCAGGAUGCCUCCCUACCUGCUGUGUUGAGUUUCCAGCAGUCACUGGAAUAUUAGGUGAGGGCUCUUCCUUGCUGCCACAGAUGUGCCAGGCUCAAAGCUCUAACCACAGAUGGCAGGGAGACAGCUAGAGAAGAGGCCUGAAGGGGAUGACAGCCUAGUCAUAGCUACUACUCUCCAUCUUGGGCCUCUGCUUCUUGAAGUUUUUGCCUCAGGGCAUAGCCAGCUCUGCAGAUCAGCUCCACCCCCAGCUUAAUCUAGUCUAUCAGUAGGAAAGAUAAGAAGUCUUCAGAGGGCAGGGAAGCUAAAUCUCCAAAACCCUUUCCCCACAGACUGCUCUGAGAGCCAUGGUAAGAAUCUAGCUGACUGGGAUUCUAGGGCAAAAGAUUGCAACUGCCAUGGAAUAACUUGAUAAUAGGACAGGAAACCCAGCUCCCUUCACCCUCCACACCUUCACCUACACCUUCAGCUUCUGCUGCCAGCUGGAGAAGAUCUAACCUCAGGGUUCAUGAAUAUUCCAUCAGCCUAAUCUAGUCAACAGCAGAGCAGAGAAGAAGCCCCUUCAGGUCAGAAUAGCCCAAACCCAAAGAUCCAGCAAAUAAUCAGAAGAGCAAGAUUACAGACAAUGAUAAAGAGGAAAGAAGGGAAAAAAUAUGAGUAAACAACAGAAAAAAGAAA